rnacentral:rRNA from 1 species
CGGGAACUCAAAGGAGACUGCCAGUGAUAAACUGGAGGAAGGUGGGGAUGACGUCAAGUCAUCAUGGCCCUUACGACCAGGGCUACACACGUGCUACAAUGGCGCAUACAAAGAGAAGCGACCUCGCGAGAGCAAGCGGACCUCAUAAAGUGCGUCGUAGUCCGGAUUGGAGUCUGCAACUCGACUCCAUGAAGUCGGAAUCGCUAGUAAUCGUGGAUCAGAAUGCCACGGUGAAUACGUUCCCGGGCCUUGUACACACCGCCCGUCACACCAUGGG